rnacentral:rRNA from 1 species
GUGUCAGCAGCCGCGGUAAUACGUAGGGUGCAAGCGUUAUCCGGAAUCACUGGGUGUAAAGGGUGUGUAGGCGGAUUUGUGCGUCAGAGGUUAAAUACCCAGGCUUAACUUGGGAAAUGCCUUUGAUACGGCAAGUCUUGAGUAUGAGAGAGGAAGAUGGAAUUCCUGGUGUAGAAGUGAAAUUCGUAGAUAUCAGGAGGAACACCGGUGGCGAAGGCGGUCUUCUGGCUCAUUACUGACGCUGAGGCACGAAAGCGUGGGGAUCAAACAGGAUUAGAAACCCCCGUAGUCC